AGUGAACGCUGGCGGUAGGCCUAACACAUGCAAGUCGAACGGCAGCACAGUAAGAGCUUGCUCUUACGGGUGGCGAGUGGCGGACGUGUGCGGAAUACAUCGUACUCUACUUUUUCUUGGGGGAUAUCGUAGGGAAACUUACGCUAAUACCGCAUACGACCUACGGUUUAAAUCAGGGGAUCUUCUGACCUUUCUCGUUUGUUUUAGCCGAUGUCGGAUUAGCUAGUUGGCGGGGUAAAGGCCCACCAAGGCGACGAUCCGUAGCUGGUCUGAGAGGAUGAUGAGACACACUGGAACUGAGACACGGAACAGACUACUACGGGAGGCAGCAGUGGGGAAUAUUGGACAAUGGGCGCAAGCCUGAUACAGCAAUACCGCGUGGGAGAAGAAGGACUUCGGGUUGGAAAGCCCUUUUGUUGGGAAAGAAAAGCAGCAGGUUAAUACCCCGCUGUUAUGACGGUACCCAAAGAAUAAGCACCGGCUAACUUCGUG
rnacentral:rRNA from 1 species